UCGAUUGAAUUCCCUUGGUGAUUAGAUGUUGUUAAUCAUCAUCAUCAUCAUCUCAAUUCUCAAGUUCGGUGAUGAUUAAUACGAUUCGAUACGAAUCUAGCACCAUAAGAAUUCAAUAGA
rnacentral:misc_RNA from 12 species